GUGAAUCAUCGAAUCUUUGAACGCAUAUUGCGCUCGAGACUUCGGUCGAGAGCAUGUCUGUCUCAGCGUCGGCUCACCCCUCGCCCCUCCCCUUUCAUUUGCAAAGGAGAACGGGCGGACGUGGCCGUCUCGCUGCUGUUAGUUUUUAAUUAAUCGGCGGCGGGUCGGCUGAAGUGCAGGGCUCGCGGCGCGACUCUCUCAAAAGAGCGCCAGCAUGGUAGGUGGCUUCACGCUGCAUGCCGCUGUCGUUCGACUGCAGAGGGCUCAAAUGCCGCUCGGCCAUAAGCAGGAAUUUUUUCU
rnacentral:misc_RNA from 1 species